rnacentral:rRNA from 1 species
ACCUCCCCCUUUCUUCAUGCCUAACACAUGCAAGUCGAACGAUGCUUUCGGGCUUAGUGGCGCACGGGUGCGUAACGCGUGGGAAUCUGCCCUUGGGUUCGGAAUAACAGUGAGAAAUUGCUGCUAAUACCGGAUGAUGUCUUCGGACCAAAGAUUUAUCGCCCAGGGAUGAGCCCGCGUAGGAUUAGCUAGUUGGUGGGGUAAUGGCCUACCAAGGCGACGAUCCUUAGCUGGUCUGAGAGGAUGAUCAGCCACACUGGGACUGAGACACGGCCCAGACUCCUACGGGAGGCAGCAGUGGGGAAUAUUGGACAAUGGGCGCAAGCCUGAUCCAGCAAUGCCGCGUGAGUGAUGAAGGCCUUAGAGUUGUAAAGCUCUUUUACCCGGGAUGAUAAUGACAGUACCGGGAGAAUAAGCUCCGGCUAACUCCGUG